rnacentral:tRNA from 3 species
GCCUCGGUGGUGAAAUUGGUAGACGCAGCGGACUCAAAAUCCGCCGCCGCAAGGCGUGCCGGUUCGAUUCCGGCCCGAGGCACCA